rnacentral:rRNA from 1 species
UUCGCAAUGCCCGAAAGGGUGACGAAGCGACGCCGCGUGUGGGAAGAAGGCCUUCGGGCUGUAAACCACUGUCGGGAGUUAGGAAAUGUAGGGGUGUUAAUAGUAUCCUUACUUGACUAAGGCUCCGGAGGAAGCCACGGCUAACUCUGUGCCAGCAGCCGCGGUAAUACAGAGGCGGCAAGCGUUGUUCGGAAUUAUUGGGCGUAAAGAGCACGUAGGCGGCCUUGCAAGUCAGUUGUGAAAGCCUUCUGCUUAACGGAAGAACAGCAGCUGAUACUGCAAGGCUAGAGUGCGGAAGGGGAGAGUGGAACUUCUGGUGGAGCGGUGAAAUGCGUAGAUAUCAGAAGGAACACCGGCGGCGAAGGCGACUCUCUGGUCCGUAACUGACGCUGAGCGUGCGAAAGCUAGGGGAGCAAACGGGAUUAGAUACCCCGGUAGUCCUAGCCGUAAACGAUGGGCACUAAGUAGAGGGGUUUU